GUGAGUGGGAGGUCAGGGCACGGCAGGGGGAGCUGCAGGCCCUCAGAGGGGCCCCAGCGUCUGAGCCCUGUCCUCCGGCAGG
ensembl:miRNA